rnacentral:lncRNA from 1 species
UCCACAUCCACUUUCUGGUGUCAGCAUACAUUUAUAGCUGAGUCUUCUAAAUGCUGAGCGUGUGCUGUUCUACAGAAAAUGGAAAGAGAAAAUCAGCCUAGUGGGGUGAUCUGUCAGUUCCCAAAAUAACUGUUCCAGGAAGGUGCAUCAUCCUACAGGACGUGGAUUUUUCUUCAUUGCAAGUGGAGGUGUUAGAUCUGAAAGGCUUCAGUCAUAGAUCAAUUGCAAACAGAGAGCACCAAGUCCUAGUCAGUUUGAGUGCAGAUAAGUAAAUUAUAGCAGACA